UUGCAUUCGAUACUGGGAAGCUAGAGUAUGGGAGAGGAUGGUAGAAUUCCAGGUGUAGCGGUGAAAUGCGUAGAGAUCUGGAGGAAUACCGAUGGCGAAGGCAGCCAUCUGGCCUAAUACUGACGCUGAGGUACGAAAGCAUGGGGAGCAAACAGGAUUAGAUACCCUGGUAGUCCAUGCCGUAAACGAUGUCUACUAGCCGUUGGGGCCUUUGAGGCUUUAGUGGCGCAGCUAACGCGAAAAGUAGAACCGCUUGGGGAUUCCGGCCCCAGAAUUAAACUCUCAAUAGUAGAAUAGACGGGGGCCCGCACAAGCGGUGGAGCAUGUGGUUUAAUUCGAUGCAACGCGAAGAACCUUACCUGGCCUUGACAUAGUAAGAACUUUCCAGAGAUGGAUUGGUGCCUUCGGGAACUUACAUACAGGUGCUGCAUGGCUGUCGUCAGCUCGUGUCGUGAGAUGUUGGGUUAAGUCCCGCAACGAGCGCAACCCUUUUCCUUAUUUGCCAGCACUUCGGGUGGGAACUUUAAGGAUACUGCCAGUGACAAACUGGAGGAAGGCGGGGACGACGUCAAGUCAUCAUGGCCCUUACGGCCAGGGCUACACACGUGCUACAAUGGUCGGUACAAAGGGUUGCUACACAGCGAUGUGAUGCUAAUCUCAAAAAGCCGAUCGUAGUCCGGAUUGGAGUCUG
rnacentral:rRNA from 1 species